rnacentral:lncRNA from 10 species
GGGAGGAGGUGGUAGUAAAGAAACCUUUAGACUGAAAAAUGUAAAGAUACAAUAUGAAAGGAGAAAAAAAACAACAAAAGAACCCACCAUGGAAGUUUCAACCCACCACCACCACAUGGUGCCAAAAACUUCAAAAUGGAACAUUUCUUAUAUUGGCACAUAUUUUUGUGAGAACAAACAUAUGGUUGUGAGCAUAUUCUUACCUUCAUUGUGAUCUGCAUAUUUCCUCUCUGCAGGAAAAUUUAAAUGCACUGUUGACAUCGUUUUAUAGUCACAUAAGAAGAAAGCAGGCAAAGAAAUGUUAUGAUUGGACUUAUUCAUGAGAUACCACAGUCUCUAAUAUAUGAAGUUUUUCAUAUUUACACUACUGGUGAAUCUCUAGUUGUAUACCUGCCUCUGUGGUCUCAUUGUUGGUCCCUAGGAUAGCUUAUAAAUAAAAACAGAUGAUACUGUCUACUGGCCAGAACAAGCUCACAACUCACUUUCUACUCCAUUCUCAAGUGACUAUGUAGAGAAAGAUGGAUGGUUGAGGUCAGGAUUUGGAGUUCUCUGGCUAACUGCAUAUUAACUUUGUUAUCAUCGCCAAUAUUAUCACCUGACAGAGAAACAGACUUGAUGGAUUUGGGCUUUAGCCCUGACUUCAUCACAAAUAAACAGUGUCAUCUUGGAUGCUAACUUAUUGUCCCAUUGGUGUCUCUUUUUGUUUCAUGAAAGUAAUCAUAUCUAUAGAAAUAGGUAUAAAUUGAGAGUGUCAGUAAUAAUUAUAAGAUAAUCAGGUAUUUAAUACUGAGAUUAAGUAAUAAAAAUUUCCAAGCACCUCAGAAGUCUUCAUAUGCUCCUAUAUGCCCUUUCCCCAUAGCCUCUGUCUUUUCUUCCUUAAAGGUGUUAUCAUCAUUCUGACUUUUGUUUUAAUU